GGCUUGCCCCAGGGCAGGGCUUCACUACUGGUCAGCAAUAGGUUAAAGGUCUUGCUGGUGGCUUGUGCUGGUGGUGAUGUUGCUGGUGGUAGGGCCUUGCUGUACUGCACAGACUGCUCACUUGCCUAGGGGGCUUCUGGUUUGCAGAAUGGUGGGGCCUAGCUAUGGACUGCCCCAUGCUGCCAGCCCCCUGCUGUGAAGUUGGCUGCUGCUGCUGCUCUUGGACCUUGCUGUCUUCCCACCUCAGUGAAACAGACUUGUCCUGCCAAGCUGAUCAACUUCAGCAAUGGCUGGAAGGGCAGAAUAUAACAAAUAUACUGGCACUCCAAAGUUUUCAGAUCUGGAAAGUAUAAGAAGAAGGCAUCACAGAGAAUAUGCAAGGGGCUUGAUAUCUGAGGAGGACAUGGGCAAGGAAGUCAAGGAGAAAGAUGAUACAUGUCUGGAGUCAGAAGGCCCUGAAAUAAUGGGCUAUUUGAGGAUCUCAUCUAUCAAGAUAGCAUCACUCCAAGAAGACUGAAAUGAACUGACAGGGAAAUAGCUCAUAAUCAAUGGACAUAACUGGAGUUAGCCCAGCCUGAAGAAGUAGGCCACGUGAAAAACUAGUUAAUCAGGACAGAGGUGCACGAAGGUGGACAUUCUAGAGAUGAAAGGGUUUUUAGAUGAUAAAAAUAAAAAAGUCCCCUCAAAAAGUUUUACAUUCAUGACUUUAGGAACAAAAGUUUUGUGAAUUUCCAUUAAUGAGACAUUCCUAUUCUAGGAACUAAAAAACUGAAAGAAGAUUAUUAACAUCAGAAAAGGAGCUUGUUGUGUAAAAAAGGAAAACUAAAGGACUGCAUUUGUUGCUUCAUCCUCACAAACUAAUCUGACCCUUUAGUCAGUUACACAGACAGUUAGUAAAAGCCGACACCACUGUAUGUGAAACUUAAGAUCUAUAUAACUCAGUCUCCAACCCUGUAGCCUCAAUCAGCUUCAAGAAAUAUCUUUGAAUAAAUCUGAUUAGGUUUAUGUCA